rfam:Pichia sorbitophila strain CBS 7064 chromosome L complete sequence.
GGGCGUGUGGUCUAGUGGUAUGAUUCUCGCUUUGGGCGACGGUUCAGUAUUAACUGAACUGACACAAAAGCAUGCGAGAGGCCCUGGGUUCAAUUCCCAGCUCGCCCC